AGCAGCCGCGGUAAUUCCAGCUCCAAUAGCGUAUAUUAAAGUUGUUGCAGUUAAAAGCUCGUAGUUGAAUUUCGGGAUUGACACAUCGGCCGUGCCUUAAGGGGUAUGAACUGGUGUAGUCAAUUUCUCACCUUCUGGAGAACCGCGAUGCCCUUAAUUGGGUGUCGCGGGGAACCAGGACCUUUACUUUGAAAAAUUGAGUGUUUAAAGCAGGCAUUUUGCUUGAAUACAUUAGCAUGGAAUAAUAAAAUAGGACGGCAUGAUUCUAUUUUGUUGGUUUCUAGGAUCACCGUAAUGAUUAAUAGGGAUAGUUGGGGGCAUUAGUAUUCAAUUGUCAGAGGUGAAAUUCUUGGAUUUAUUGAAGACUAACUACUGCGAAAGCAUUUGCCAAGGAUGUUUUCAUUAAUCAAGAACGAAAGUUAGGGAUCGAAGACGAUCAGAUACCGUCGUAGUCUUAACAUAAACUAUGCCGACUAGGAAUCAGACGAUGUUUAAUUUUUAAUGUACUCGUUGGCUACCG
rnacentral:misc_RNA from 1 species